rnacentral:rRNA from 1 species
UACGUAGGUUGCGAGCGUUGUCCGGAUUUACUGGGCGUAAAGCGCGCGCAGGCGGUCCUGAAAGUCGAAUGUGAAAGCUCCUGGCUCAACUGGGAGAGGCCGUUCGAAACUUCGGGACUUGAAGGCGGGAGAGGCAGAUGGAAUUUCCGGUGUAGCGGUAAAAUGCGUAGAUACCGGAAGGAACACCAGUGGCGAAAACGAUCUGCUGGCCCGCCCUUGACGCUCAGGCGCGAAAGCCAGGGGAGCGACCGGG